GUUUUCCAGACAUUAUUUCAUAAAAUAUGACCUCUUCAGUUAAUGCAUUUGUGUUUUGUUCUGACAAAGUAUCUCUAAAAUGUUGACUGCAGGAAAGUUCUCAGGCUGUGGCACUCGGAAACAUCCUAUAUUCAGUGUGAUCAAUUCUGAUUAAAGACUACAAAUUCUACUGAAUACUGAGUUGAUGAACGAAAGGCAGACCUUUAUGCCCUAGCAUCUCAACUGGAAGCAAGAAAGAAGAAACUGGAAAUUGUCUGCUCUGACAAAAGAACAACAACAACAACAUGAAGACAAUUCACAUGAAAUAGAGUCUAACUCCCAUGAGGAGAGAGAGACAGGCACAAAAGCUAUUUUCAUGAAAAACCACUGUGAGCUGUGCCUACUGACAAAGCAUAAAACAAGGUGGAAGAAAGGAGAAUUCUCUUUCUGUGUAGCAGUCCCUUACCUACACUGCAUGAUGGCUGACCAGCCACCAGGUUCCAGAUGCUACCAUGAUGCCAACCAGACUUCCCUGGGCAGACAACCCCACCAAUAUGUCCUGGAGCCCCGCUUCCCCAGAUCCCUGCACCACUAGGGAAAGAAAGAGACAGGCUGGGAGUACGGACUGACUUGUCAAUGCCCAUGUUCAGUGGGGAAGCAAUUACAGAAUCCAGAUCUUCCACCUUAUGCACCCCAUAAUGAUCCUGGGUCUAUACUCCCAGAGGGAUAAAGAAUAGAAAAGCUAUCAAGGGAUGGGAUGGGAUACGGAGUUCUGAUGGUGGGAAUUGUAUGGAAUUGCACCCCCUCUUAUCCUACGGUCUUGUCGGU